CUUACGGUAGUGAGUUCAAGGGAUUAAACGUCUUUCUUUCCUGUCUCUAUCUUUGCCAAUCAAGGAAAGAAAGUCGUUUAAUCCCUUGAACUCACAGCAACUCGUUACGCUCGGCCCACCCACCUCACUACACUUGUUUAUAGAGAAUCGAACGAAACGGAGAGCUCAGUCAAUCAAGGCAAGGAAACUCGAUGAACUACUCGGGACGGGAAAGGAAAGAGCCAUAAAUCAAACUCGCUUAUCUCACAACUCGGGAUGCUCCUUACGCUCGGUAGUCUCACAACUGACUACCUUCGCUAAUGGAGCUACACUCACAGAUGGCGAGAGUCCAGUAACUGAAAGCCUCACUGACUUACGCUCUGACCCGAGUAGCAUGAGGCACAUGGAAUCCCGUGUGAAUCAGCAAGGACCACCUUGUAAGGCUAAAUACUCCUGGGUGACCGAUAGCGAAGUAGUACUGUGAGGGAAAAAUAAAAAGAACCCCCAUCGGGGAGUGAAAUAGAACAUGAAACCGUGAG
rnacentral:ncRNA from 1 species